rnacentral:rRNA from 1 species
GGGAUAACAGGCUUAUCUCCCCCAAGAGUUCACAUCGACGGGGAGGUUUGGCACCUCGAUGUCGGCUCAUCGCAUCCUGGGGCUGUAGUCGGUCCCAAGGGUUGGGCUGUUCGCCCAUUAAAGCGGUACGCGAGCUGGGUUCAGAACGUCGUGAGACAGUUCGGUCCCUAUCCGUCGUGGGCGUAGGAAAUUUGAGAGGAGCUGUCCUUAGUACGAGAGGACCGGGAUGGACAUACCUCUGGUGUACCAGUUGUCGUGCCAACGGCAUAGCUGGGUAGCUAUGUGUGGACGGGAUAAGUGCUGAAAGCAUCUAAGCAUGAAGCCCCCCUCAAGAUGAGAUUUCCCAACUUCGGUUAUAAGAUCCCUCAAAGAUGAUGAGGUUAAUAGGUUCGAGGUGGAAGCAUGGUGACAUGUGGAGCUGACGAAUACUAA